rnacentral:rRNA from 1 species
UAGGGAAUCUUCCGCAAUGGACGAAAGUCUGACGGAGCAACGCCGCGUGAGCGAAGAAGGCCUUCGGGUCGUAAAGCUCUGUUGUUAGGGAAGAACAAGUAUCGGAGUAACUGCCGGUACCUUGACGGUACCUAACCAGAAAGCCACGGCUAACUACGUGCCAGCAGCCGCGGUAAUACGUAGGUGGCAAGCGUUGUCCGGAAUUAUUGGGCGUAAAGCGCGCGCAGGCGGUCCUUUAAGUCUGAUGUGAAAGCCCGCGGCUCAACCGUGGAGGGUCAUUGGAAACUGGGGGACUUGAGUGCAGAAGAGGAGAGUGGAAUUCCACGUGUAGCGGUGAAAUGCGUAGAGAUGUGGAGGAACACCAGUGGCGAAGGCGACUCUCUGGUCUGUAACUGACGCUGAGGCGCGAAAGCGUGGGGAGCAAACAGGAUUAGAUACCCUGGUAGUCCACGCCGUAAACGAUGAGUGCUAAGUGUUAGAGGGUUUCCGCCCUUUAG